rnacentral:rRNA from 1 species
AGGGCACCACCAGAAGGGGAGCCUGCGGUUUAAUUUGACUCAACACGGAAAAACUCACCCGGCCCGGAAACUAGAAGAAUUGAAAAAUGGAAAGCUCUUUCUGGAUUUAGUGGGGGGGGUUGCAUGGCCGUUCUUAUUUGGGGGAGUGAUUUGCCGGGUUAAUUCCAAUAACAAACGAAACUCUGCCCUACUUAAUACCUCGACUUUUCCUUAUGGCGUGGCCAAAUUUCUUAAAGGAAUAAUCUGCAACUCACCAAAAUGAGAUAGAGCAAUAACCGGCCGGGGAGGCCCUUAUAUGUCCGGGCCCACUACCGCGCUACACUGAUAAGGUCAACUGAUUUAUGUUCCUGUUCCCCUAGAUGAGGGUAACCCAUUGAACCUUCUUCGUGAUAGGAAUUGGUCUUUGUAAUAAUAGACCAUGAACGAGGAAUUCCCAGUAGGGGAAGUCAUCAGCUUGCGUUGAUUACGUCCCUGCCCUUUGUACACACCGCCCGUCGUUACAACUAGUUGAAUGAUUUA